CCUCCGAUAGCUCAGUUGGCAGAGCGGUGGACUGUAGCGAUUCAUCAGAAAUCCAUAGGUCGCUGGUUCAAAUCCGGCUCGGAGGA
rfam:Trichinella zimbabwensis scaffold41s, whole genome shotgun sequence.